AGCUUUGCACAGUGGCAGUAUUGUAGCCAGUGCUACAUAUCCGAGGCAUAAUUAUUGCUAACUGAAGCAAAAAUCUACACAUAAUGAAAAGCAUGCAUCUGAAGUAUGCCUUUGCUAAGUCAUUUUGUAACCUAA
rnacentral:snRNA from 1 species